AAAAACUUUCUGUCAAUAUAUUUGUGUUGAUGAUACCAAGGUUUCGUUGGUAAUUCUUUCUGUAUUUUGCUGUACCAUUUUCCUUUGGUCUGCAGGGUAUUGUCCCAUGUACAAGUGAAGGAGCAGUGACUACAUUAGAUGAGACUGGUUCUAUGUCCAGAGGACUCAAUUCGAGUUGUUUGUGAAGAAUGCUAUUGUUUAAGGAUACUAUUUUCAAAUAAAAUCUUUGGGCCAACUGUAAUCUACGCAAAACCAGAGGAGGAGAGACACAGUAUGAUGAUGGUUGCACAUUUAUCUCAAGAAAAGUUGGAAGGUGGUAACUACCCAUUGGGUCAUCAUGAACAUACCAAUUGCAAAGAUGAGCAAUAGAAGAACUAGUAAGAGCCAAAUCUAAUGCAGCAGCCUGUCUACCAGGAUAAGGGACCGUUGUUGUAGAUCCAUCAUUUAAAAUGCAUAAAUCACAAUCAUCUAUAAGGUUAAACAAGCAUUUACCCCUAUUGUUGUCAUAAUUAGAUCCAAAAGCCAUGUGAUGAGCAUUAAAAUCACCCAUUAUAACACAAGGCCUUGGUAAGGAAUUUAUAAGUCUCUUCAAUUUUAAAUCAUCAAA
rnacentral:lncRNA from 1 species